rnacentral:rRNA from 1 species
AUGGUACUAUUGACUUAUUAUCAUUUUUUUUCGUUGAAUGGUUAUUGCCAUUGUUGUUGUUCCUGUUGGGUCCUUGCGGCUGGGGUUAAUGAUGUGCUCAAUUUUUUUUACAGACCCAAUUUGACAUAUUGGUUUAUACUCCCCCAUCCCAUAAUACAAGAUAUUUUUACAAGCUAUAUUAACUUGCAAAAUUAUGGGACGGAAGAAGUACUAAAUAAAUCAGAUCUUGUCGAAGUCGUAUCUAACUUGCAUGGUGUCUCCACCAUUGACUAUAGAAAAAAUUGGGCAAGACCAAAUCCACUCGCAUAA